rnacentral:lncRNA from 1 species
GCGUCGGUGAGGAGGGCGGAGAGGGCAGCGGUGCGGCGCGUGUCGAGCGUGCGGAGGGCGAUCUGGAGCGUGGCGUCGAGGGAGGUUUCGCGGCGAUCGAGGAGGCGGAGGGAGUCGGAAGUAGUGUUGUCGAGGGUGCGAAUCUUGCGUUUGAGGGCUUCGGAUUUGUGGUUGAGGUCUUGCUCGAGGGAGGAGAAGUGGUCGGAGAGCUCCUUCCAGAGGAGGGUGCAGCUGGUCAUGAGGGAAGUUUGGCGCUGGAACUCGUCGAAGCUCGGCUGAGUCAACUCGCUC